rnacentral:rRNA from 1 species
GACGGAAGGUGCAAGCGUUGCUCGGAAUCACUGGGCGUAAAGGGUGCGUAGGCGGCUUGGUAAGUUGGGUGUGAAAGCCCCGGGCUCAGCCCGGGAAGGGCACUCGAAACUGCCGAGCUGGAGUGCCGGAGGGGAGAGUGGAAUUCCUGGUGUAGCGGUGAAAUGCGUAGAUAUCAGGAGGAACACCGGUGGCGAAGGCGGCAUCCUGGACCGACACUGACGCUGAGGAGCGAAAGCCAGGGGAGCAAACGGG